rnacentral:rRNA from 1 species
AUUGAACGCUGGCGGCAGGCCUAACACAUGCAAGUCAAGCGGAUGAGUGGAGCUUGCUCCAUGAUUCAGCGGCGGACGGGUGAGUAAUGCCUAGGAAUCUGCCUGGUAGUGGGGGACAACGUUUCGAAAGGAACGCUAAUACCGCAUACGUCCUACGGGAGAAAGUGGGGGAUCUUCGGACCUCACGCUAUCAGAUGAGCCUAGGUCGGAUUAGCUAGUUGGUGAGGUAAAGGCUCACCAAGGCGACGAUCCGUAACUGGUCUGAGUGGAUGAUCAGUCACACUGGAACUGAGACACGGUCCAGACUCCUACGGGAGGCAGCAGUGGGGAAUAUUGGACAAUGGGCGAAAGCCUGAUCCAGCCAUGCCGCGUGUGUGAAGAAGGUCUUCGGAUUGUAAAGCACUUUAAGUUGGGAGGAAGGGCAGUAAGUUAAUACCUUGCUGUUUUGACGUUACCAACAGAAUAAGCACCGGCUAACUUCGUGCCAGCCGCCGCAGUAAAAC